UACGGGCAGCAGUAGGGAAUAUUGCACAAUGGGGGAAACCCUGAUGCAGCGACGCCGCGUGAGUGAUGAAGUAUUUCGGUACGUAAAACUCUAUCAGCAGGGAAGAUAAUGACGGUACCUGACUAAGAAGCCCCGGCUAACUACGUGCCAGCAGCCGCGGUAAU
rnacentral:rRNA from 1 species